CAAAAAUUCCCUCCCAUUGUUCUCAAGUUUCAGAUCUAACAUUUGAAAUUCAAACUCCAAAUCUUAAAAAAAAAAAAAAACAAAACAAAAAACAUAAGAAAAAGCAAGGGAAAAUCCAAAAAAAAAAACGGUUACAUUGAAAGUCAUUAGAUUAAUUUUGAAUUUUAGCUGUUGAUCUUCCUUUCCUAGCUCAGUUUCCGGUCAGUGGAGGUUUCAGGAUAUUUCUCAGUCAAUUUCGAGUUGUUGUGAGUGUAUUCAAGCUGGCUUUGGUUGAUUUAGUGGUCGAAAUUAGUGCUGGUCGAUUGUUAUUACUGGAUUUUGAACUUAUUCCAGAGUUGCUGCUGAGAAAUUUUAUUGCUGUUAAUCUUUUCUUUUUCUUAUUGCUCUCAGAUUUCUAGGUACACAUUUGAAUCCACUCUGCUGUAACUCCGAGUCUUGAAAAGGAAUAAAAUUGGUCGCCUAUUUGAUCUUGGAAUAUGCUGCCUGGACUGUUGUGUGUUAGUAGCUAAUAGUUGUUAGAAAUAAUUGUUCAAGAUAGUUUAAAGUCGAUUUGUAUGUAUAUAAACUUUGGACUGUAUGAUUGAGACUGAAUCAGACUAUUUUCGAUACUAUUGAGACAUUUGUAAUUAGUUGUAGUCCACUUUCCUAAUAUCGGAAUUUUGCAUAUAAAGGUUUGAACUAGACUACUGUAAAUCAUAAAUAUGAAUUUGUUUUUU
rnacentral:lncRNA from 1 species